GACGAGGGGUCCAAGCGUUGUUCGGAAUCAUUGGGCGUAAAGCGCGUGUAGGCGGCUCGAUAAGUCUGCUGUGAAAGUCCAGGGCUCAACCCUGGGAUGCCGGUGGAUACUGUCGAGCUCGAGUCCGGAAGAGGCGAGUGGAAUUCCUGGUGUAGCGGUGAAAUGCGCAGAUAUCAGGAGGAACACCAAUGGCGAAGGCAGCUCGCUGGGACGUGACUGACGCUGAGGAGCGAAAGCGUGGGGAGCGAACAGG
rnacentral:rRNA from 1 species